CCAGACUCCUACGGGAGGCAGCAGUAAGGAAUAUUGGUCAAUGGGCGGAAGUCUGAACCAGCCAUGCCGCGUGCAGGAUGACUGCCCUAUGGGUUGUAAACUGCUUUUGUCCGGGAAUAAACCUCCUUACGAGUAGGGAGCUGAACGUACCGGAAGAAUAAGGAUCGGCUAACUCCGUGCCAGCAGCCGCGGUAAUACGGAGGAUCCGAGCGUUAUCCGGAUUUAUUGGGUUUAAAGGGUGCGUAGGCGG
rnacentral:rRNA from 1 species